rnacentral:tRNA from 1 species
GGGGCCAUGGCGGAACUGGUAGACGCGCUAGAUUCAGGUUCUAGUGAGCAAUCAUGAGGGUUCGAGUCCCUUUGGCCCCACCA